UACGUAGGGUGCGAGCGUUGUCCGGAAUUAUUGGGCGUAAAGGGCUCGUAGGCGGUUUGUCGCGUCGGGAGUGAAAUCCACUGGCUUAACUGGUGGCUUGCUUUCGAUACGGGCAGACUGGAGGUAUGCAGGGGGAGAACGGAAUUCCUGGUGUAGCGGUGAAAUGCGCAGAUAUCAGGAGGAACACCGGUCGGCGAAGGCGGUUCUCUGGGCAUGUCCUGACGCUGAGGAGCGAAAGUGUGGGGAGCGAACAGG
rnacentral:rRNA from 1 species